GCGGAAGUGGCGGAACUGGCAGACGCACCAGCUUGAGGGGCUGGCGGUGGCAACAUCGUAGGGGUUCGAAUCCCCUCUUCCGCACCA
rnacentral:tRNA from 4 species